CUGCAACAUCUGGUCCUUGUGCCUAACUCACUGGUGGGGGCACAGCUAGCACAGCAGCAGGCUGUCAGACCUCUGAGGCUGCAUUUCAUGGGGUUUCAUUAAUAACAUUCCCAAUGUGAUUUUCUUUUUGUGUUCUCUUUGUAGAACACAGAAUGUAUUGUAGCCUUUUUCCAGCGCUUACUGGCUAUUUUAAUCAAACCCAGCACUGAACAGAGAAGAAAAAGAGGCAUGGAGGGGAUGUAGUCAUUUAUUAUUAUUAUUAUUUUUUUUGCACUGGACAAUGCUGGCAGAUCUUGUCUUUGCAUUAGGGCGAGGAUUUACCUCUCACCUGCAGCAGGAGCUGAACUGUGAAAUUUCUGUGGCAUCUUAAACGAAAAAAAGAAGUUGGGAUGAACUUGACCAGGUAUUUCUUCGUUUUGCAAAAUAUCAGCUGCAUUCACCAUGGCUCUUCAGAACUUUCAUCAGACACCUAGUUUUAUCUUUAAAGAUCUGGUGUUAUCUUCCGCUGCCUUUGCAAGAAUGCUAUGAAUGCAGAAGAUUAAAACAACGAGAGUGCUGCUCUUCAGUUCAAAAGACUGCUCCCACCAAACACUGUGUGGGUUUUUUACCUUAUUCUCCAGAAAAAAAAAGAAAA
ensembl:lncRNA